rnacentral:rRNA from 1 species
AACGAACGCUGGUGGCAUGCCUAACACAUGCAAGUCGAACGAGACCUUCGGGUCUAGUGGCGCACGGGUGCGUAACGCGUGGGAACCUGCCUUUAGGUUCGGAAUAACUCCCCGAAAGGGGUGCUAAUACCGGAUAAUGUCUUCGGACCAAAGAUUUAUCGCCUUUAGAUGGGCCCGCGUAGGAUUAGCUAGUUGGUGGGGUAAAGGCCUACCAAGGCGACGAUCCUUAGCUGGUCUGAGAGGAUGAUCAGCCACACUGGGACUGAGACACGGCCCAGACUCCUACGGGAGGCAGCAGUGGGGAAUAUUGGACAAUGGGCGAAAGCCUGAUCCAGCAAUGCCGCGUGAGUGAUGAAGGCCUUAGGGUUGUAAAGCUCUUUUACCCGGGAUGAUAAUGACAGUACCGGGAGAAUAAGCUCCGGCUAACUCCGUGCCAGCCGCCGCCGUAACAC